rnacentral:lncRNA from 10 species
AUGAUUCUGAGGCCUGCCCAGCCGUGUGGAACUUUUUCUCUUGCUGCUGCCAUGUAAGAAAUGCCUUUCAUGUCCCACCAUGAUUCUGAGGCCGCCCCAGCCAAGUGGAACUCUGCCAUGUAAGAAGUGCUUUUCAUCUCCCGCCAUGAUUCUGAGGCCUCCCCAGCCAUGUGGAAUUGUAAGUCCAAUUAAACUUCCUUUUCUUCCCAGUCUCAGGUAUGUCUUUGUCAGCAGUGUGAAAAUGGAGUAAUACAGUAAAUUGGUACCAG